rnacentral:rRNA from 1 species
CGCGUAGGCGGUCUGAUAAGUCAGGCGUGAAAUCCCACGGCUUAACUGUGGAAUUGCGUUUGAUACUGCCAGACUUGAGUACAGGAGAGGAGAGUGGAAUUCCUAGUGUAGCGGUGAAAUGCGCAGAUAUUAGGAGGAACACCAGUGGCGAAGGCGACUCUCUGGCCUGAUACUGACGCUGAGGUGCGAAAGCGUGGGGAGCAAAC